rnacentral:sRNA from 1 species
UGAAAACGGCAGUCGGCUGGGGAUUGGGU